ensembl:rRNA 5S_rRNA 5S ribosomal RNA
CCAGAGCAUAUCUCCCUCCAGUUCAUGCCUGGUUUCCCACUGAGGCUAAGCAGGGUUGAGCCUGACCAGUACCUGGAUGAGAGUCCUCCUGGGGAAAACUAAGAUUGAUGCUGGA